rnacentral:rRNA from 1 species
AUUGAACGCUGGCGGCAUGCCUUACACAUGCAAGUCGAACGGUAACAGGUCUUCGGAUGCUGACGAGUGGCGAACGGGUGCGUAAUACAUCGGAACGUGCCCAGACGUGGGGGAUAACGAGGCGAAAGCUUUGCUAAUACCGCAUACGAUCUAAGGAUGAAAGCAGGGGACCGCAAGGCCUUGUGCGUUUGGAGCGGCCGAUGGCAGAUUAGGUAGUUGGUGGGAUAAAAGCUUACCAAGCCGACGAUCUGUAGCUGGUCUGAGAGGACGACCAGCCACGCUGGGACUGAGACACGGCCCAGACUCCUACGGGAGGCAGCAGUGGGGAAUUUUGGACAAUGGGCGAAAGCCUGAUCCAGCAAUGCCGCGUGCAGGAUGAAGGCCUUCGGGUUGUAAACUGCUUUUGUACGGAACGAAAAGGCUCUGGCUAAUACCUGGGGCACAUGACGGUACCGUAAGAAUAAGCACCGGCUAACUACGUG